AUUGAACGCUGGCGGCAGGCCUAACACAUGCAAGUCGAGCGGAGCGGCGGACGGGUGAGUAAUGCCUAUGAAUCUGCCUGGUAGUGGGGGAUAACGUCCGGAAACGGGCGCUAAUACCGUAUACCAUCCGAUGAGGCUAGGUCGGAUUAGCUAGUUGGUGGGGUAAAGGCCUACCAAGGCGACGAUCAGUAACUGGCCUGAGAGGAUGAUCAGUCACAGUGGAACUGAGACACGGUCCAGACUCCUACGAGAGGCAGCAGUGGGGAAUAUUGAACAAUGGUCGAAAGCCUGAUCCAGCCAUGCGGCGUGUGUGAAGAAGGUCUUCGGAUUGUAAAGCACGUUAAGUUGGGAGGCGUUACCAACAGAAUAAGCACCGGCUAACUUCGUGCCAGCAGCCGCGGUAAUAC
rnacentral:rRNA from 1 species